rnacentral:rRNA from 1 species
UGGGGAAUUUUGGACAAUGGGCGCAAGCCUGAUCCAGCCAUGCCGCGUGAGUGAAGAAGGCCUUCGGGUUGUAAAGCUCUUUCGGUGGGGAAGAAAUCGCAUUCUUUAAUAGAGGGUGUGGAUGACGGUACCCGCACAAGAAGCACCGGCUAACUACGUGCCAGCAGCCGCGGUAAUACGUAGGGUGCGAGCGUUAAUCGGAAUUACUGGGCGUAAAGCGUGCGCAGGCGGUUAUAUAAGUCAGAUGUGAAAUCCCCGGGCUCAACCUGGGAACUGCAUUUGAGACUGUAUGGCUAGAGUGUGGCAGAGGGGGGUGGAAUUCCACGUGUAGCAGUGAAAUGCGUAGAGAUGUGGAGGAACACCGAUGGCGAAGGCAGCCCCCUGGGCCAAGACUGACGCUCAUGCACGAAAGCGUGGGGAGCAAACA